rnacentral:rRNA from 1 species
GAUGAACGCUAGCGGCAGGCCUAAUACAUGCAAGCCGAACGGCAAGAACUUUAGCAAUAGAGUUCCUAGAGUGGCGUAAGGGUGCGUAACACGUAUGCAAUCUGCCCUCAACAGGAGGAUAGCUCCCCGAAAGGGGAAUUAAGACUCCAUAAGAUCAUUUUAUGGCAUCAUGAGAUGAUUAAACUACCAGGGGUUGAGGAUGAGCAUGCGCAUGAUUAGUUAGUUGGCGGGGUAAC